rnacentral:rRNA from 1 species
AAUAUUGGACAAUGGGCGCAAGCCUGAUCCAGCCAUGCCGCGUGAGUGAUGAAGGCCUUAGGGUUGUAAAGCUCUUUCACCGAUGAAGAUAAUGACGGUAGUCGGAGAAGAAGCCCCGGCUAACUUCGUGCCAGCAGCCGCGGUACUACGAAGGGGGCUAGCGUUGUUCGGAUUUACUGGGCGUAAAGCGCACGUAGGCGGUUUGUUAAGUCAGAGGUGAAAUCCCGGAGCUCAACUCCGGAACUGCCUUUGAUACUGGCAAGCUAGAGUCCGGAAGAGGUAAGUGGAACUCCUAGUGUAGAGGUGGAAUUCGUAGAUAUUAGGAAGAACACCAGUGGCGAAGGCGGCUUACUGGUCCGGAACUGACGCUGAGGUGCGAAAGCGUGGGGAGCAAACAGG